UACGUAGGUGGCAAGCGUUGUCCGGAAUUAUUGGGCGUAAAGCGCGCGCAGGCGGUUCCUUAAGUCUGAUGUGAAAGCCCACGGCUCAACCGUGGAGGGUCAUUGGAAACUGGGGAACUUGAGUGCAGAAGAGGAUAGUGGAAUUCCAAGUGUAGCGGUGAAAUGCGUAGAGAUUUGGAGGAACACCAGUGGCGAAGGCGACUAUCUGGUCUGUAACUGACACUGAGGCGCGAAAGCGUGGGGAGCAAACAGG
rnacentral:rRNA from 1 species